GUGUGUUCAGUUUUUGACUAGGAGAACAGUGAAGUGCACUCCGUUUUUUUCUCUCCCCCCGUCCUAAGCGCGUGCGUGAUUGCGCGCGCACGGUUGGCAGCUCCACGUCGACAUUCUCCAGCUGAAGCUCUUCAUCCACAGCUUGCAGGAUCUCCAGUGUUCAGCAGCUCCAGACAGAGAAACAAGCAGACCCAGAGCUUCUCCAGGAACCCACAGACCGACUGAAUGACCGAGAGCUGCAGCAGAUGGCGGAAGAGUGCGAAUAUCAUCAAGCAGCUCUCUGGCUUUCCAAGUAAAGUUCUGUGAUACACUCCGACUCUGAAUGUUUGCAGUCAGUGCAUUACAGAACUUUGUUUUGGGAGUUUAAAGCUCAGGCCUGGAGGAGAAAAGCAUGAAAACGACGUCGUGUUCCUCGACAACACACACAAAACAUCAUUACAAUUACCACCAUCUCAUGCUCGUUCCCUUACCUUCAACUGCUAUCCCCAAAAUUCAAUGUGUUUGUGUGUGUUAUGUACGUGAUCUGUUUUCAGAGUGUGUUUUCCAAGCACUCAAUUAGCAUAGCGAAGGCUAUACCACAAUUGCUAAACGGCUAAAAAUAAGCGUUGCGCAGUAACACAGCUCUUUCCAAUUAAACAUUCCUUUCCGAAACCUCACUCAACACAGAAAUGCGGCAUUUUUUCCCAUUGUUGUAAAAAGGAAUGCAUUUCACAUGUAGAAGAAGGGAAAGUGUGUGAAAUGGGUUUAGGUUUGUGAUGACAUCAUCAGGAGGCGGUCACAUGACUCUGAAGAGCACAGGUAACACUCUGAUAUACAGCGGGGAGAAUAAGUAUUGAACACGUUGUCGUGUUUUUUCCUGGGAGUUAUAUUUGUGAAGGGAAUGGAAUUGAAGCAGAUUUUGAUUUAAAAACCCGAACAAUACAAACAUAAAAAUAAAAUUAAACACGUUUAUUAAGUUACGUUUAAUAACAGUGGAAAGACAGGAGGAGGAAGUGCUGAACUACUGAAGUGUACUUAAUUGGUGCUGGAUGCCUCUCAUAUGAAUAAAGAAGUCCCAUGUCUUGCUCAGGUGCUUCUCACAGACUUCAACAGAGUUUCAAACUCUUGAUAGUUCUGUGGGUCUCGUCUAUCAAAUCUGAGCUUUAUCUGAAUUCUCUAUUGGAUUCGAGUCAGGGGAUUGUUUGGGCCAUUCUACAGCUUGAUUCUCUUUCACUGAAAGCAUCCGAGAGUCUCCUUGGCUGUGUUUUGGAUCAUUGUCUUGCUGAAAUGUCCACCCUGGGUUCAUCUUCAUCCUCCUGCUGAUGUAGAUGUUGGACUGAAGCAGCUGAUGUUCAUUUACACUGAGGAAGGGCAGAGGCUUGCUGAAGAACUACUGAGAGAUUUCAGCUGCUGUCUGGGCUUUCACUGCUGAACUACGCCUCCCUUUCUUCGUGUGUUCAAUCUUUUUUUUUUUUUCCUGUGUCAUUUAAUUUUAUUACACUGGAUAUAAUUUGUAAAUUACAUGUGUUUUCUUUGUAUAUAUGGAUUUCACUGGUUGUUCCCAACAUCCGGGGAACAUUUCAAGUCAACAGCAUCAUUAGAAAUAUGUUUUCUCGGAUAAAUAAGGAUGUGUUCGAGAACAAAGGAUUGUCCCUUCUGUAAAUGUUUUAUUUGUAAUAUCUACGCAAGUGCUGUUAAUGGCCAGAAGUUAACAAGAAUUAUUUCUCUACAGUUAAUGUACAAUAAUAAUUACUGUUUUUACUUCACUGUGAGUGUUGGGUUUCGGGGUAUACAUUAAUAAAAUACAAUUUAAUGGGUGAAUUAAUAAAUAAUAAUAAGAAUACUCUGUGAAAUUACUGUUUUUACUGUACUGUGGGGGUUAGGUUUAGGGGGUAGAUGCAAAAAUAAAAUGUAUUGGUAAUUUGGUAAAUAAUAUAAAUAAUUCUUGCUAACUUCCGGCUACAGCUGUAUCCCUUCUGAUGAUAUUUGUCACAACACUGUUACAUGCAGCGAGAUUGGAUCCCUUCAACCAUACAAACAUCAGAUUUGUGUGAUUUUUGUGUGACACAUUUGAGAUUUCAGGGGAACAUAGGUCAGUUGAGAGGUUGCAUAGAAAGAAGAAAUGAGAUGCAUUAGGGGGGGAGAAAGGAGGUAAAGAAAAAAAAACUGUCCUUGAAGUAGGGCAGAGUGAGAUCAGGGGGAAAAAGUUUUACGACCUGGGCACCUUGAUGUCAAAACAACAUCAAAUUGACAUCUAAAAUUGGCGUCAGGACAGUCCUAUAAUCAAACCAAUUUUUUACAUAUUUUAACAGCAACGUAGAUGUCGAUUUGACAUCAAGGUAAUCAAUUGACGUUAAAAUUGAUUCUAGGUAGUUUCCUUGCAUUGAAGGGGUACAAAAUAAAGUUUUUAUUUGUAACUGAAGUUUUGAAAAUUAAUAAAAUAUAUAUAUAUUUAGCUAUAA
ensembl:lincRNA